rnacentral:rRNA from 1 species
UACAGAGGGUGCGAGCGUUGUUCGGAAUUACUGGGCGUAAAGCGCGCGCAGGCGGCUCUUUAAGUCUAUGGGUCAAAGCCCGGGGCUCAACCCCGUGGUCGCCCGGGAUACUGGAGAGCUAGGGACAUGUAGGGGCGAGCGGAAUUCCGGGUGUAGCGGUGGAAUGCGUAGAGAUCCGGAAGAACACCGGGGGCGAAGGCGGCUCGCUGGGCAUGGUCCGACGCUGAGGCGCGAAAGCGUGGGGAGCGAACAGGAUUAGAAACCCGUGUAGUCC